UACAGAGGUCCCAAGCGUUGUUCGGAUUCACUGGGCGUAAAGGGUGCGUAGGUGGUGAGGUAAGUCGGAUGUGAAAUCUCCAAGCUCAACUUGGAAACUGCAUUGGAAACUACCUUGCUAGAGGAUUUGAGGGGGGAUUGGAAUACUUGGUGUAGCAGUGAAAUGCGUAGAUAUCAAGUGGAACACCAGUGGCGAGGGCGAAUCCCUGGAAAAUACCUGACACUGAGGCACGAAAGCUAGGGGAGCAAACAGG
rnacentral:rRNA from 1 species